AUUGAACGCUGGCGGCAGGCCUAACACAUGCAAGUCGAACGGUAACAGGAAACAGCUUGCUGUUUCGCUGACGAGUGGCGGACGGGUGAGUAAUGUCUGGGAAACUGCCUGAUGGAGGGGGAUAACUACUGGAAACGGUAGCUAAUACCGCAUAACGUCGCAAGACCAAAGAGGGGGACCUUCGGGCCUCUUGCCAUCGGAUGUGCCCAGAUGGGAUUAGCUAGUAGGUGGGGUAACGGCUCACCUAGGCGACGAUCCCUAGCUGGUCUGAGAGGAUGACCAGCCACACUGGAACUGAGACACGGUCCAGACUCCUACGGGAGGCAGCAGUGGGGAAUAUUGCACAAUGGGCGCAAGCCUGAUGCAGCCAUGCCGCGUGUAUGAAGAAGGCCUUCGGGUUGUAAAGUACUUUCAGCGGGGAUGAAGUGAGUAAAGUUAAUACCUUUGCUCAUUGACGUUACCCGCAGAAGAAGCACCGGCUAACUCCGUG
rnacentral:rRNA from 1 species